GAUAUCGCGCUCACAAGUAUGCGAUAGACGAGAUAAGUGUGCAUAUUUUACAAACGUUGGCGCCAUUUAUCAUAGACAUCAAUAAUCCCCAAAUGAAUCGCGCUAAGCCCUUUUUGACCGGGACUGUGGACGUGACCUGGAGUGAUUUCAAGGAGCAAGCGCAAGACAGGGUCAAGAGGAGACAGCUUGUGAGGGAUGUACCAUGAUGUACGGAUGUACUAAUGGGGCACCGUAGGACUAUAACAGCAACAGCAAAUCAAACUAACUAGCAUGUCAAAAAUCUGUAGGAUGAAACAAAUAUCAGAAAUAAUAAAAGGAAUUUAAU